CCUACGGGUGGCAGCAGUAGGGAAUAUUGCUCAAUGGGGGAAACCCUGAAGCAGCAACGCCGCGUGGAGGACGAAGGUAUUUGGUAUGUAAACUCCUUUUGUUAGAGAAGAUAAUGACGGUAUUUAACGAAUAAGGACCGUCUAACUCCGUACCACCAGCCGUGGGAACAUGGCGGGUGCAAGCGUUACUCGGAAUCACUGGGCGUAAAGGGCGCGUAGGCGGGAUAGCAAGUCAGAUGGGAAAUUCUUUGGCCUAACCGUAGAACGGCAUUUGAAACUGGUCUUCUGGAGUAUGAGAGAGGUACGUGGAAUGCUUGGUGUAGGGGUAAAAUCCGUAGAGAUCGAGAGGAAUACUCAUUGCGAAGGCGACCUGCUGGAUCAUAACUGACGCUGAUGCGCGAAAGCGUGGGUAGCGAACAGGAUUAGAUACCCUAGUAGUC
rnacentral:rRNA from 1 species